rnacentral:rRNA from 1 species
CCAGACUCCUACGGGAGGCAGCAGUGGGGGAUAUUGCACAAUGGGGGGAACCCUGAUGCAGCGACGCCGCGUGGGUGAAGGAGCGUUUCGGCGCGUAAAGCCCUAUCGGCAGGGAAGAAGGAGGACGGUACCUGACUAAGAAGCCCCGGCUAACUACGUGCCAGCAGCCGCGGUAAUACGUAGGGGGCAAGCGUUAUCCGGAUUUACUGGGUGUAAAGGGGGCGCAGACGGCGAUGCAAGGCAGGAGUGAAAGGCCGGGGCCCAACCCCGGGACUGCUCUUGGAACUGCGUGGGUAGAGUGCAGGAGGGGCAGGCGGAAUUCCUGGUGUAGCGGUGGAAUGCGUAAAUAUUAGGAGGAACACCAGUGGCGAAGGCGGCUUACUGGGCUUUAACUGACGCUGAGGCUCGAAAGCGUGGGUAGCAAACAGGAUUAGAUACCCGAGUA